AGGCUCGUGCUCAGUUGGUUAGAGCACCACCUUGACAUGGUUGGGGUCGUUGGUUCAAAUCCAAUCGAGCCUA
rnacentral:tRNA from 1 species